AGAGUUUGAUCAUGGCUCAGGAUGAACGCUGGCGGCGUGCCUAACACAUUCAAGUCGAACGGUGAAAGGAGCUUCGGCUCCCGGAACAGUGGCGGACGGGUGAGUAACGCGUGAGCAACCUGCCUGUGUGAGGGGAAUAACAGUUGGAAACGACUGCUAAUACCGCAUGACGCAUCAUUUUCGCAUGGAGAAGGUUGACCAAAGUAAUUAUCGCACACGAGAGUGGGCUCGCGUCUGUAUUAG
rnacentral:rRNA from 1 species